CUCUGCAAGCCAGUGGGGAUAUUAAAAUAAAUAAGCCACAGCCACUACCUGCUCCUCUUGGCCACUGCUGAUUCAUUUAUCUUUUGCAGCAGGUUGUUUUAAAUUUAUCGAAUUCUACAAUUUUGCAGUCUGUAUCUGCACUCUAUCUUUUAAUAGUUUCUCUUUUUCCAAUCGUCUGUUCUUUUCACUUUGGUUCCUUUUACUGUCUCUUUAUUUUCUUAGAUUUGCUGCUUUCUGGUUUUCAGUUUUGAAUAUUGUUUCCUAAAACAAUAUUUUUCUAGGUUCUGAAAAUUUUACCAUUUAUGUUCUUUUUUCCUUAAAGAAAAACAACCUCCUUGAUUCUAUGUAGUAUCUCUCUGUCUUUAUACAUUUGAAAUAACAUUGUGUGUUUUGGUUUUUUUCUUAAAUAAAUUUAUUUUUCAUUUUUGGCUGCUUUGGGUGUUCGUUGCUGCACGCUGGCUUUCUCUAGUUGUGGUGAGCGGGCUUCUCAUUGCGGUGGCUUCUGUUGUUGCAGAGCACAGGCUCUAGGUGCGUGGGCUUCAGUAGUUGCAGCGCAUGGGCUCAGUAGUUGUGGCUUGUGGGCUCUAGAGCGCAGGCUCAGUAAUUGUGGCACACAGGCUUAGUUGCUCCACAGUAUGUGGGAUCUUUCCAGACCAGUGCUCGAACCCGUGUCCCCUGCAUUGGCAGGAGGAUUCUUAACCACUGCAUCACCAGGGAAGUCCCAACAUUGUGUUUUUGAUUGCAUCCUUUUAAGGCAUCAUUUUCUGUUUGCUGUUUGCCAGAUGAAGAAACUGGGGCAGAGAAUAAAAACAUUUUCAUCUGGAUGGACCAACAGUUGGCUCCUAGAGGGUCAGCUGGUAUCCUGUGCCCCACAGAAUCCCUGGGGAGCUGAGAGCACUGCCUGGCAGCUGGCACCCAGUGAGCUUUUGUUGAAUAAAUACAUGCUGGAAGCUCCAGAAUUCUGUGCCUUCGUCCCUGGCUGUGGUUGAAAAUGGAGUCACCUCUCGGACCCCGGGGACCCCAGGAAGCGGGCGUAUUUCUGGAAUCUACUCCCGCUAUCAGCUCCCCAUGAGCUCAGGCCUGUGACUGACAGGGACAGACACAGAAACGGACACAUGAGGAGGACUUGUGCCUGAGGGUUCCAAACCGUCCUGCUGGCAAAAGACACACAGAAGGGGUGCUUCCAGUCGUUUGUUUAAGCCAGCGCUUCCCAAAGCCUGCGCCCAGAGGAGAGGGUCUACAGACCCUGAAGGACAGCUCUGUACCCAGUGAGCUUGGGAAACACCGAAUAGCCUGCCCUCCUUUUGGGACUUUAUAACGCAUGUGAGCUCAUCAUAGACUCUGAGAUGUUCUACAGAAGGUAAAAAUGUUUGAUUUUGUUUA